UACCUGACUUAUGGUGAGAAUAACAUGGUCAAAUAACAUGAAUUUGAACUUAGUAAACUUAUCUGAAGCUUAUCUCUUUCAGCAGUACCUGACUUAUGAACAUACAAAUUGAAGGGGACUGUGAAGAUCUCCUUAUCCAAUCGGCUGCCUGGAGCAUGGAUCCAUUACUGCAGCAUCCUGACAGAUGGCAACCCAGCUGCUGUUUAAGUAUUUUUCCUGAAGAUUGACCACCUCCCCAGAUAGUCUUUUCCAUUGUUUAUUUUUAUCAGGAUUUUUUCCCUUGCUGCCCAAAAUUUAUGGCCUUGUAAUUUAACCCCAUUGCUGCUUAUCUUGUCUUCUGGAACAACUUUGAAUAACACUGCCCCGAGUUUUGCAUUAUCACCCUUUAUAUACUUGGUAACUGCUGUUGUGUCUUUUAACAGUCACAGCCUGAUCAUACCCAACACUUCCAAUUGUUUUUAGCAAGUUUUUCUUUCCAGGUCCAUUAUUUUUGAGCAUUCUUCAGUUUGUUAAUAUGCUUCCUAAAAUGCGCAAAGAACUGGGUGCCAUACAUUAACAUGUUGUGUCUGCGCCCCCAGAGCCGGGCCCCCUACCAGAAAGUGAUUUGGAAAGUGAGGGGGAAGGGCCAUCAGGAUUUACCUCUGGAGCAUCAGCUUCCCUGGCUCAGCUCCAGGAGCCAGAGGCAGGCCAGGUGGAGGAGAUAACGAGGCCUCCGUCCUCUGACUUCCCCCUCCCAGGCCACGCCUCCAGACCCGGCUGAUGGCAAUCAGGCCUGGCUGGACCCUAGGUUUUGUAGGCAGGAGAGGCGGGAACAACAGAAGCAGGGGUGGGCAGGCCUAGGAAGUGCUGAGUCAUGGAGCCACACCCCACAGAGUAUAAAGGCAGCACUGGCUGCUCUUCUGCUCCGUGACGAGCAAAAAUUGAGCUGAACUAUUUGACUCGGGGAGAAGUGAGCUGAGAACAUUCAGCCUGGACUGCUGACUUCCUGGUUGCCUGGCAACUCCAAGAUAAAAGGGAGACUUUGGCAGGCAGCUGCAGAUCCCCUGCCAGGACUGAUAGCAGCCGUGAACUCAAUUACUGGCUCGUUUAGCCAGCUCGCGUGGCUGAGGCUGGGAGGGGACAGAACAUAACGGGAGUCUCAUCCGUGUUGCUAUUGCCUGUGAUUCAUUUUUUAGUUUUUGUCCAUGUAUCACACGGUUCCAUAUUUGGAUUGUAAUGCUUCAAGCAUUUAGAUUUCACAACAGCGGUGUAUGUUCAGUAUGGUUUCUCCCAUCCCAUGGCUUUACAUUUGAUUUUUCUACUACUUUGAUUUCCUAUAAUAGAGAUACAGGAUCAUGUAUUUGCUGUUGCAAUUCAUCUUGGCUGAUUUGUUCCAUUGUUCCAGCUUGACAAAAUCCUUUUGAAUCUUGAUACUGUUCUGUAUGGUGUUUACCAACCCCCAACUUUGUCAUCUUCGAAUUUGAUAAUCAUUUUUAACGCCUCACGUUAAAACAGCACAGAGUUGAAUAGAACCUCAUGAUAUGUUUUAACAUGUCCAGUUUGCUGUUCAUUGAUGUACAUUUAUUGAAUAUAGUCCUCAAUUUACAACAGGUCAUUUAGUGACCAUUUAAAGUUGUAAUGUACUGAAAAAAGUGACUUAUGACCACGUUUUUCUCACUUAACUGUUGCAACAUCCCAAUGGUCACAUGAUCAAAAUUCAGAUGCUUGGCAACUGACUCACGAUGGUUGCAGUAUCCUGGGGUUAUGUGAUCAUCUUUUGUAAGCUAACAAGUCAAUGGGGAAGCCAGAUUCAUUUAACAACCAUUUUACCAACGUAACUGCUGUGAUUCAUUUAACAAUUGUGGCAAGAAAGAUCAUAAAAUGGGGCAAACUCAAUAAAUGUCUCACUUGGCAACAGAAAUUUUAGGUACAAUUGUGGUCGUAAGUCAAGGAUUACCAGAACAGUUCAACCAGUUCUGUAUCCAUGUAAUAUAGCAUAGCAUAGCCAUCUUCUUUAGACUCGCAAGAGGAAUAUUAUUGAAUGCUUUUCUGAAUUAAAUCAUUUCCAGUGUACUACUAAGGUCAUACUGAAACAGCUGAGUUACGGAAUCACAGUCAAGUUUGUGAAAUGGGGCAGAUGAGAUCCUAAAAAGGUGUGUCACCACAAAACAACUGCUAAUAUUUAGAAAAUGUAAAGGAAGGGUAAUACUUAAGUUUCCAGUAGGGAAAUGAAAGUAACUCUUCACUCCAUUUUACAUUUAAGAGGAUGAGUCAGUGAUUUUCUCAAAUACAUUCCAUACAAACUAGUAACCUUACUAUUAAUUUUCACAAACUAGCUAUACUAAUUGUUGAGCUGCCAGAGAUGAAUAUCAGCCAGUCUGUGAGGCUUUGCUAAUGUUUUGUCCAGCAUUAUGUGAUACUUCUGAAUAAGAUAAUACUGUGUUAUUUACAAAUUGAAAUGCAUUCUGAAACAACUUGCUAUAUUUAUGAAGAUUGCAUUUUUCAGACUUUAUUUAACCCAACUGCAGCAGGAUACUGUAGCAGAAACAAAGAGGCUUUUCUCUUUUCCUCAUGCAAUAUUUAAUAAUCAUUGUUUCUUGUUACCUUUGCAAAAUUUGAAUGCCACAAAUUGUUAAUGAAAUUGUGUAAAUAAAGGUAGCCCUCAACUUGUGACCCCAACAUUUCUAUUGCUUAGUGAGGCAUUUAAGUGAAUUUUGUCCCAUUUUAUGACUUUUCUUACCAGUUAUUAAGUGAAUCACUGCAGUUGUUAAAGUUAGUAAAUGGCUAUUAAGUGAAUCUUCCUUCCCCAUUAACUUUGCUUAUCAGGUCACAAAAAGUGAUCAUAUGCCUCUGGGAUACUGCACCUGCCAUAAAUAUGAGUCAGUUGCCAACCACCUGGACUUUGAUCAUGUGACCAUUGAAAUACUGCAAUGGUCAUAAGUGAAAAAUGGUUGUAAGUCACUUUUUUCAGUGCUAUUGUAACUUUGGUCACUAAAUGAACUGUUGUAAGUCAAGGACUACCUGUAUACUAAAGCAAUGGAAAAGGUUUGACACAAUUUUGAUAAGAAUGAUGAAUUGAAUAUCUGCUUCCCAGAUUUAUAUACUUUUAUUUCAUUUCAACUGUUUAACAGUUUAAAGUGGGUUUAAAAGUUUGUGAACCCUUCUAAAUUUAAUAUUUCUGCAUAAAUAUGACCUCAAUUAAACAAAUGAAUCAAAAACAUUAGACUUGUUCUAAUGUUUGAUCCAAAAAUACUUAUUUGUGGAUGAAAAAAGUGAACCUUUAAUUUCAGUAAUUGGUGUUGCUGAAUAUUAGGUGCAAUCACUGGUAUUAAACAUUUCUGAUAAUAAUUGAUGAACCCUGCACGUUGGCUUGGAGGAAUUUUAACUAUUCUUCCUUAUCAAACAGCUUCAACUCAAAAGAUAUUGGUGGGCUUCCCUGCUUGAUGAACUGGUCUUUAGUUCCAUAGCUGUUACUGUGGGAUUCUUUGAGACUUCCUAGAAUAUUACAUGCUUGGCUGUUGGUGUGACCUUGGUUGGUCAACUUCUCCUGGGAAGGAUAACAGGUGCUGAAUUGUCUCCAUUUGUACACAGUCUACCUAACAGUGGACUCGGGGAAUCCAAAUUCUUUGGAAAUAAUUAUGGUAUGUAAUAUUUUCCAGCCUGGUGAGUAUUAACUUUUUUGGAAGUCCCCAGAAAUCUCUUGUUCAACUCAUGACACUUUCAUAUACUAUGCCUAAGAUGGUGAACCUAUGGCACAUGUACCCAAAGUGGCAUGUGAAACCAUGUUGCCUGGCAUGUGUGGCGUCACCCAUUCCUCGGGUUUCUGGCACACAUGUGCGUAUGACGACCAGCUGGCCGGUGUGCAUGUUCACGCAGGAAACUGGAAGACCUGGUCACACGCAUGUGUGCACCGGAAACCAGAAGUUCAUUUUCGGGGGUGUGCAUUCCCCCUGGGCAGCUCCUUUUCUGGGUUGCGGCCCAGACGAGCCCACACUCCCUUUUCAGCACUCUGCAGAAAAGGUUCGCCAUCACUGUACUAUGCUGUGAAGACGGACUUUGAUAAGAAUACCCAGAAUUUUGUUAGGCAAGACCUUAUCAUCUCAUUGACUGAAAUAUCUGAUUAAUUUCCCCUUCAAAGGAACUAAUAAUCCGAUAGGUUUGUAUAUUUUUUGUCACACACGUAGCUUUGGAUCAUGGUCAAUACAUGAUCAAGUAUAUUGACUGCUUAAUUGGACUCUCUAGUUUUAGGAUGUGAAUAGUAUCACAUUUUAGAUCGUAUUGAUGUAAAAAUAUUAAAAAUAGAAAAAGGUUCACAAAUGUUUAAGCACCACUGUCUCAAGAAUUGCAAGUAUGCUAUUACUGUAUAUAAUGUGUGGUGUCAUUGUUACUGAGGACAUGUUAGAGAAUUGAUGCAAAGUUGAAAAAAUUGAGAACUCAUUCAAAUGAUAAAAUGUACGUUCCUCACAAAUACUUUGGGCUUUUUAUUUUAAAAACAAAAUUAUGAACAGAGCUAUCAGUAUAUUUUCUGUGUCCCAUCAUAAAAUUUCAACAAUAGGUUCAAUUACAAAAAUUCUUCCCAUUUUCUAAAACUAAAAGGCAAACCUCUUUUAAAAACGUUAAAAUUUGACAACUGUUAUCAUUCAUGAUACAUUUUGGAAAGUUAUUUGAGAACCAGAUUCUGGGUACAAAGUUAAAGCUUUCAUGAGUUUUCUGAUGUAUCUAGUUUCAGAUUUGAGAGACCUUAAUUUUGCUUCAAAUAAAUUAAUGCAUUUCUUACAAUCAUUUAUUUUAUUUCACAGCUUUUCAGUUGGUGUUCAUACAUCCAUAAUGGUUACUAAGGAAAAUCUAAGGCAAUACAGUCAAAAGAGAUUGCUUUGAUUAAACUUCUCUUGCUUCUUGAAGAAACUUGUCUGAAUUUAUAAAAUCUUUGUGAUUAAGCAGUUCCAAAGAAAAUUACUGUUUUAGCUGAAGAGAAUUUUUAAUUUUCUUCCUUCAUAAAUGUACAAUAAGGAUUAGGUUUUCUACGCAUUGGCUCCCCAUAUACAUAAUGGCAUAUUAUAUACAUAUUUUUCUUAAUUCUAUUGAAUGUAUUGUAAAAAAAUGUACAGCUUAUAUACAGAAAAGUGCUUAAUGUACAUACUGUAUAUACCCUUUUCAUGUAAUGCAACAGAUAAUCUGCAUCCAUCAGAGAGAACCAGCCUCAUAAUGUUUUUACACUAUGAAUUCCACGAAAACAAAGUAACUGAUGAAAUAUGAAAUUAAAUGCAGUGACUCUCCAACAUUUUGUAGCAAAUGUCCAUAAAUUUAUCAUGGCAUUUGCUCACUUUCCAAAAUGGACAAAGUUGAAGUCCAAUAAACCUGUUGCUCAGAUAGCGACUAGUCUUGUAAAAUGUCUGUUGCAAUGUACUCCUGGUAUCAGAAAAACACUCUUCCGAGUUCAAACAUGACCUGCAACAUAAAACAGAAUUUUGCUAGUU